rnacentral:rRNA from 1 species
UACGGGGGGGGCAAGCGUUGUUCGGAAUUACUGGGCGUAAAGGGCUCGUAGGCGGCCAACUAAGUCGGACGUGAAAUCCCUCGGCUUAACCGGGGAACUGCGUCCGAUACUGGAUGGCUUGAGUUUGGGAGAGGGAUGCGGAAUUCCAGGUGUAGCGGUGAAAUGCGUAGAUAUCUGGAGGAACACCGGUGGCGAAGGCGGCAUCCUGGACCGGUAUUGACGCUGAGGCGCGAAAGCCAGGGGAGCAAACGGG